rnacentral:rRNA from 1 species
GGGUUGUGAGGUUAAGCGACUAAGCGUACACGGUGGAUGCCCUGGCAGUCAGAGGCGAUGAAGGACGUGCUAAUCUGCGAUAAGCGUCGGUAAGGUGAUAUGAACCGUUAUAACCGGCGAUUUCCGAAUGGGGAAACCCAGUGUGUUUCGACACACUAUCAUUAACUGAAUCCAUAGGUUAAUGAGGCGAACCGGGGGAACUGAAACAUCUAAGUACCCCGAGGAAAAGAAAUCAACCGAGAUUCCCCCAGUAGCGGCGAGCGAACGGGGAGCAGCCCAGAGCCUGAAUCAGUGUGUGUGUUAGUGGAAGCGUCUGGAAAGGCGCGCGAUACAGGGUGACAGCCCCGUACACAAAAAUGCACAUGCUGUGAGCUCGAUGAGUAGGGCGGGACACGUGGUAUCCUGUCUGAAUAUGGGGGGACCAUCCUCCAAGGCUAAAUACUCCUGACUGACCGAUAGUGAACCAGUACCGUGAGGGAAAGGCGAAAAGAACCCCGGCGAGGGGAGUGAAAAAGAACCUGAAACCGUGUACGUACAAGCAGUGGGAGCACGCUUAGGCGUGUGACUGCGUACCUUUUGUAUAAUGGGUCAGCGACUUAUAUUCUGUAGCAAGGUUAACCGAAUAGGGGAGCCGAAGGGAAACCGAGUCUUAACUGGGCGUUAAGUUGCAGGGUAUAGACCCGAAACCCGGUGAUCUAGCCAUGGGCAGGUUGAAGGUUGGGUAACACUAACUGGAGGACCGAACCGACUAAUGUUGAAAAAUUAGCGGAUGACUUGUGGCUGGGGGUGAAAGGCCAAUCAAACCGGGAGAUAGCUGGUUCUCCCCGAAAGCUAUUUAGGUAGCGCCUCGUGAAUUCAUCUCCGGGGGUAGAGCACUGUUUCGGCAAGGGGGUCAUCCCGACUUACCAACCCGAUGCAAACUGCGAAUACCGGAGAAUGUUAUCACGGGAGACACACGGCGGGUGCUAACGUCCGUCGUGAAGAGGGAAACAACCCAGACCGCCAGCUAAGGUCCCAAAGUCAUGGUUAAGUGGGAAACGAUGUGGGAAGGCCCAGACAGCCAGGAUGUUGGCUUAGAAGCAGCCAUCAUUUAAAGAAAGCGUAAUAGCUCACUGGUCGAGUCGGCCUGCGCGGAAGAUGUAACGGGGCUAAACCAUGCACCGAAGCUGCGGCAGCGACGCUGAUGCGUUGUUGGGUAGGGGAGCGUUCUGUAAGCCUGCGAAGGUGUGCUGUGAGGCAUGCUGGAGGUAUCAGAAGUGCGAAUGCUGACAUAAGUAACGAUAAAGCGGGUGAAAAGCCCGCUCGCCGGAAGACCAAGGGUUCCUGUCCAACGUUAAUCGGGGCAGGGUGAGUCGACCCCUAAGGCGAGGCCGAAAGGCGUAGUCGAUGGGAAACAGGUUAAUAUUCCUGUACUUGGUGUUACUGCGAAGGGGGGACGGAGAAGGCUAUGUUGGCCGGGCGACGGUUGUCCCGGUUUAAGCGUGUAGGCUGGUUUUCCAGGCAAAUCCGGAAAAUCAAGGCUGAGGCGUGAUGACGAGGCACUACGGUGCUGAAGCAACAAAUGCCCUGCUUCCAGGAAAAGCCUCUAAGCAUCAGGUAACAUCAAAUCGUACCCCAAACCGACACAGGUGGUCAGGUAGAGAAUACCAAGGCGCUUGAGAGAACUCGGGUGAAGGAACUAGGCAAAAUGGUGCCGUAACUUCGGGAGAAGGCACGCUGAUAUGUAGGUGAAGUCCCUUGCGGAUGGAGCUGAAAUCAGUCGAAGAUACCAGCUGGCUGCAACUGUUUAUUAAAAACACAGCACUGUGCAAACACGAAAGUGGACGUAUACGGUGUGACGCCUGCCCGGUGCCGGAAGGUUAAUUGAUGGGGUUAGCCGCAAGGCGAAGCUCUUGAUCGAAGCCCCGGUAAACGGCGGCCGUAACUAUAACGGUCCUAAGGUAGCGAAAUUCCUUGUCGGGUAAGUUCCGACCUGCACGAAUGGCGUAAUGAUGGCCAGGCUGUCUCCACCCGAGACUCAGUGAAAUUGAACUCGCUGUGAAGAUGCAGUGUACCCGCGGCAAGACGGAAAGACCCCGUGAACCUUUACUAUAGCUUGACACUGAACAUUGAGCCUUGAUGUGUAGGAUAGGUGGGAGGCUUUGAAGUGUGGACGCCAGUCUGCAUGGAGCCGACCUUGAAAUACCACCCUUUAAUGUUUGAUGUUCUAACGUUGACCCGUAAUCCGGGUUGCGGACAGUGUCUGGUGGGUAGUUUGACUGGGGCGGUCUCCUCCUAAAGAGUAACGGAGGAGCACGAAGGUUGGCUAAUCCUGGUCGGACAUCAGGAGGUUAGUGCAAUGGCAUAAGCCAGCUUGACUGCGAGCGUGACGGCGCGAGCAGGUGCGAAAGCAGGUCAUAGUGAUCCGGUGGUUCUGAAUGGAAGGGCCAUCGCUCAACGGAUAAAAGGUACUCCGGGGAUAACAGGCUGAUACCGCCCAAGAGUUCAUAUCGACGGCGGUGUUUGGCACCUCGAUGUCGGCUCAUCACAUCCUGGGGCUGAAGUAGGUCCCAAGGGUAUGGCUGUUCGCCAUUUAAAGUGGUACGCGAGCUGGGUUUAGAACGUCGUGAGACAGUUCGGUCCCUAUCUGCCGUGGGCGCUGGAGAACUGAGGGGGGCUGCUCCUAGUACGAGAGGACCGGAGUGGACGCAUCACUGGUGUUCGGGUUGUCAUGCCAAUGGCACUGCCCGGUAGCUAAAUGCGGAAGAGAUAAGUGCUGAAAGCAUCUAAGCACGAAACUUGCCCCGAGAUGAGUUCUCCCUGACUCCUUGAGAGUCCUGAAGGAACGUUGAAGACGACGACGUUGAUAGGCCGGGUGUGUAAGCGCAGCGAUGCGUUGAGCUAACCGGUACUAAUGAACCGUGAGGCUUAACCUUACAACGCCGAAGCUGUU